rnacentral:rRNA from 1 species
UACGUAGGUGGCAAGCGUUGUCCGGAAUUAUUGGGCGUAAAGGGCGUGUAGGCGGGAUAAUAAGUCUGUUGUAAAAGUGCGGGGCUCAACCCCGUAAGGUCAAUGGAAACUGUUAUUCUUGAGUGCAGGAGAGGAAAGUGGAAUUCCCAGUGUAGCGGUGAAAUGCGUAGAUAUUGGGAGGAACACCAGUGGCGAAGGCGACUUUCUGGACUGUGUCUGACGCUGAGGCGCGAAAGCCAGGGGAGCGAACGGGAUUAGAUACCCCGGUAGUCCUGGCCGUAAACGAUGGGUACUAGGUGUAGGAGGUAUCGACCCCUUCUGUGCCGGAGUUAACGCAAUAAGUACCCCGCCUGGGGAGUACGGCCGCAAGGUUGAA